rnacentral:rRNA from 1 species
CUAACACAUGCAAGUCGAACGGACCCUUCGGGGUUAGUGGCGGACGGGUGAGUAACACGUGGGAACGUGCCUUUAGGUUCGGAAUAGCUCCUGGAAACGGGUGGUAAUGCCGAAUGUGCCCUUCGGGGGAAAGAUUUAUCGCCUUUAGAGCGGCCCGCGUCUGAUUAGCUAGUUGGUGAGGUAACGGCUCACCAAGGCGACGAUCAGUAGCUGGUCUGAGAGGAUGACCAGCCACACUGGGACUGAGACACGGCCCAGACUCCUACGGGAGGCAGCAGUGGGGAAUCUUGCGCAAUGGGCGAAAGCCUGACGCAGCCAUGCCGCGUGAAUGAUGAAGGUCUUAGGAUUGUAAAAUUCUUUCACCGGGGACGAUAAUGACGGUACCCGGAGAAGAAGCCCCGGCUAACUUCGUGCCAGCAGCCGCGGUAAUACGAAGGGGGCUAGCGUUGCUCGGAAUUACUGGGCGUAAAGGGCGCGUAGGCGGAUCGUUAAGUCAGAGGUGAAAUCCCAGGGCUCAACCCUGGAACUGCCUUUGAUACUGGCGAUCUUGAGUAUGAGAGAGGUAUGUGGAACUCCGAGUGUAGAGGUGAAAUUCGUAGA